rnacentral:rRNA from 1 species
GUAGGUCCCGAGCGUUGUCCGGAUUUAUUGGGCGUAAAGCGAGCGCAGGCGGUUUAAUAAGUCUGAAGUUAAAGGCAGUGGCUUAACCAUUGUUCGCUUUGGAAACUGUUAAACUUGAGUGCAGAAGGGGAGAGUGGAAUUCCAUGUGUAGCGGUGAAAUGCGUAGAUAUAUGGAGGAACACCGGUGGCGAAAGCGGCUCUCUGGUCUGUAACUGACGCUGAGGCUCGAAAGCGUGGGGAGCAAAC